AGGAACUGACCCACAGACACAGUCCCCUGAUGUCCGACCAGAAGACAACGAAAUCCGUGCUGGGCUGCAGCUGGUGAGACCUGUGGCUAGCUUCUGUCUUUGCCAUCUGCCGUGGCUUUGAUCCACUCGCAUUUAUUUCUGCAAGAAGUGUGACUUUCUGUCUCUGAUCUGC
ensembl:misc_RNA